GGGGAUUUAGCUCAGUGGUAGAGCGCUUGCCUAAGAGGCGCAAGGCCCUGGGUUCGGUCCCCAGCUCCG
rnacentral:tRNA from 1 species